UGGGGAAACCCAGCCAGAUGGGUGGGGUAUAAAUAUUAAAUUUAUUAAAUUUAUUAUAUUAUUAUUAUUAUUAUUAUUAUUAUUAUUAAAGGUAGAUGGCAGGUUAGAGGAGUGUGUGUGUGUGUGUGUGUGUGUGUGCAUAUAUCUUUGGGAAAGCUAAUCCCAUCCUAGAGUUUCCAAAGGGCUCCCACAUCUCCUUCCCCAC